GAACAUUGUUAUUCAUGGUUGAAUAGACUGAUUGCAAAUUAGUUCUUUUAAGGGUUCAAUUCCCUCAAUGUUCU
rnacentral:tRNA from 1 species